rnacentral:tRNA from 3 species
UAUCUCCUUAGCUCAGUUGGUGGUAGCACCUGACUCUUAAUCAGGGGGUCACAGGUUCGAAUCCUGUAGGGGAUAU